rnacentral:rRNA from 1 species
ACGGGUGAGUAAUACAUCGGAACGUAUCCUGGAGCGGGGGAUGGCCCGGCGAAAGCCGGAUUAAUACCGCAUACGCUCUGAGGAGGAAAGCGGGGGACCUUCGGGCCUCGCGCUCAAGGGGCGGCCGAUGGCGGAUUAGGUAGUUGGUGGGGUAAAGGCCUACCAAGCCGACGAUCCGUAGCUGGUCUGAGAGGACGACCAGCCACACUGGGACUGAGACACGGCCCAGACUCCUACGGGAGGCAGCAGUGGGGAAUUUUGGACAAUGGGGGCAACCCUGAUCCAGCAAUGCCGCGUGUGUGAAGAAGGCCUUCGGGUUGUAAAGCACUUUUGUCCGGAAAGAAAUCAUCGGGGCCAAUACCCCUGGUGGAUGACGGUACCGGAAGAAUAAGCACCGGCUAACUACGUGCCAGCAGCCGCGGUAAUACGUAGGGUGCGAGCGUUAAUCGGAAUUACUGGGCGUAAAGCGUGCGCAGGCGGUGCUGUAAGACCGAUGUGAAAUCCCCGGGCUUAACCUGGGAACUGCAUUGGUGACUGCAGCGCUGGAGUAUGGCAGAGGGGGGUGGAAUUCCACGU